UACGGAGGGUGCGAGCGUUGUCCGGAAUCACUGGGCGUAAAGGGCGCGUAGGCGGCGCGGGUAGUCAACGGUGAAAGCUUGGGGCUCAACCCCGAGUCGGCCGUCGAUACUCCCGUGCUCGAGCACUGUAGAGGCAGGUGGAAUUCCGGGUGUAGCGGUGGAAUGCGUAGAGAUCCGGAAGAACACCGGUGGCGAAGGCGGCCUGCUGGGCAGUAGCUGACGCUGAGGCGCGACAGCGUGGGGAGCAAAC
rnacentral:rRNA from 1 species